CCUCUAGCGAGACCUCCUCGUUGCCUGUUGCUUAAUUUUUAAAAAUUUUUUUUUUAACUUUGAAGAUGUUGCUUUUAAAGUAAAUAAUAAUAAAAAAAAUAAUAGAAUGUGUAAAACUGAGUAAAGAGAUUCGAUGUGUUGCAACUUCGACUUGAAUAACACAUAUUUUGAUUGUACCGAUAUAAGUAGUUUCAUUUAAUUGAACUUAGUUAUAAGAAUGGAUUGUUCAAUUUGUUCAUAUUGUAUGAAUAUUCUCACCACUUUGACGUGCCUAUUUGUUGUCCGCAUGUGGAUUGUUUACUUACGCAUCCACAAUAAUAAACGUACUAUUCCCCGAGCAAAAACUCCAUCCGUUAAAACGAUGGUUGUUUUAGGAUCUGGUGGACAUACAUUUGAAAUGUUUCAGCUUAUAAAAAAUAUAAGUAAUAAAUUUAGUCCAAGAAUUUAUAUAAUUGCAAAUUCUGAUACAUUGAGUGAAUGCAAGGCAAAAUCAUUUGAAGAAUCUUUAGAUAAUUUACCUGAAAACUAUGUGAUUGAAAGAAUACCAAGAAGUAGAGAAGUUGCACAAUCGUAUAUAACCUCUGUUUUGACAACUCUUAAGGCUUCAAUUUUUUCAUUCUUAUUAAUAUGCAGACAUAUGCCAGAUUGUCUUAUUUGCAAUGGCCCUGGUACAUGUGUUCCUUUGUGUUUGUCAGCCUUUUUACUUCAUAGUCUGGGUUUGAAACAUAUUAAAACAAUCUAUGUAGAGAGCAUAUGCAGAGUUUCAACAUUGUCUUUAAGUGGUAAAAUACUUUAUCAUCUCACUGAUUAUUUUAUAGUGCAAUGGCCGGACAUAAGAAAGAAGUACCCUCACGCCAAAUAUUUUGGAAGAUUGAUUUAAAUUUGUGGAGAACAGUGUUUAUAUAUGUACAGUAGAACCCCAAUUUCUAGACACACAGUUAUUGGACCUGAUCAAAUUAAGACACUGAUGCCCAUUAUAAAUGUUUCAAUACAUCUUUUAUCAUAACUACUGGUAUUAACUACUUAUUGUUGCGUUUAUAGGCCUUGUGCAAUUAAGCUCUAAAAAUGAAAUUUGGUUGAAUUACUGCUGUGAGGAAGAAAAGAGAAACUGGUGCCUUAAAAAAGACAAAAAACAAAAUUUAAAAAAAAAAAAUUCAUUAUAUCAUAUUGCUAUUUAUGAUAGGGAAAUAAAGUAUUGUCAUUUUAAUAUUUAUGUACUGACUCAUUUAGAAAAGGUCUCGAUUAUCUGUUGAUUUUGAUUUUCCAACAUACCCCUGGUCCCAUGGGUGUCGUUUAAUCGGAGUUCUACUAAUUAUUUUAAAUUAUUGUGUACAUACCUAAAAAAAAUUUUUAAUAUUUUUUUUUAAUGCUUCAGCUUCCGAAUUCUGUCUUUGUUGGAGUGUUUAAAACCAGUGUCUCAAUAAAUAAUAGAAAACUGUAAGGGUCUAAAAGAUUAAACAUUCUUAAUGUAUUAAUUUAAGAUUCAAGUGCAACUCAGAUUUUGCAUUUUCUGAAAGAAUUUAAGAUGAAUAAUAAUAAUAAUCUAAUCCCAAACCCAUAAAUCUUAAAAAACUAUUUUAAAUCUGGUUGUAAUGAAUAAACAGCUUAUAAAAUAAUCUAUUAGGUUAUUCUUACACUUCAUUUACAUAAGACCUGCCCUUUAUUCAGGACUUUUGAUGUAGAACUUCAAUCCGUUAAAGUGAGAGAAAAAUUAUCAGUGGCAAUCAUCAGAUGCUUGAAUCUAGUACUAACUGCAUGUUCAUUCUUUACUCCAAAACUGAUAUUUUAAACCAAGGUAGUAGGGAAAAACAGAUUUUCAUACCUUCUGUGACUUUACAAACCUGAAAAAUUGAGGAUACAUAGAAAUCGUUCCAGAGUAAAAAUCUCAAUGUCAGCUCUGGAUAAUUCCUUCAAAGUAAACCUGGUAUAAUAGGCAGGUGCUGCCUUUAACUAAUUAGGACUGAUAGUCCUUCAAUCCACCAUUAGUAGGCUUCAAAUGACUCACCUUUAUACAGGGGCAGAAGGUCUUUCAGACAUGUGCCAACUGAUACUCAUUGCAAGCCUAUCUGAAACAUCUCUUAAACUCUGCAAGUCUUAACUAGAAUGACAUAAAGUCCCCAUCUUGUAAUCGAUCAUUUGAAGAUUCUUAGACCUGGUUCAGCCUGUAACUAGACUAUGCUAAAUAAGUCCUCAAUAACAAUGAAGAAUUUGCAGAGUUAAUCUCAAGCAGGCAGCACUAUCUUCAAAAUUUUAAAUUUUCCCGCGCCUUAAGUGCAGUCAUGCAGAGAUUAUUGGAAAAAUUAAGCAUUUAUCUAAUAAAUAUUUAGUACAAUUUGCAAUUAUUAAAAAUAAUAAAAGUGAUACACAAAAACUUAGUUUGAAAUUUGUAUAGUCAUACUUUAGUUUUGCCCAUAAGGAGAAAAAAUAUACGAAUAUGCCUGUUGCCUUGCUGGAGGGUAUCUUCUGUGCUCCAGUGUUAAUACACACUAAUAAAAAAAAUCAUAAAUUCAACUUAUGUUCCAUGAAUUUUAUUUACCAAUAUUUAAAUAAUUUGAUAAACAACAAACAUAUUGUGUAUUCAGUUUAAAUUGAUUCGUGAAGUCUUUUCAAUAUGAAAUAUACUUGAAGUUUACUGUUAUUUGAACAUGUAUACUUUCCUGUGCAAUAAAUAAAUCUACUUUUUCUUAACAGAAAUACAUUUAUGUAAUUAACAAAAAUCAUGAUUGUGUAGCUAAAUUGAUUGAUGCAUUCAAUUAAUGUUUCUAUCAAAGUAGAUUUGUUCUUCUUUGGUAGUUCAUGUGGAAAAAUAAAUACUUUAUGAAUGGUA
rnacentral:misc_RNA from 1 species